GCAGGGGUGGCGGAGCUUGGUCUAACGCGCUAGCUUGAGGUGCUAGUCUCUUAGGAGUUCGGGGGUUCAAAUCCCUCCCCCUGCA
rnacentral:tRNA from 1 species